UGUUCUUCAGCCCUGUUUCUUCCACUUUGGGUUAAUUUCCAACAUGAAACCCUUCCUCUGGUUUCAGGACUGACACGGGGUCGUCCAUGCCUUUAUCUUUUCACCACUAGAUCUCUGUCCCGCCCUGUACACACGUGUUCCUCAGGCUCCCUGCACCACUUUCAACUGGUCAAACUGCUGCUCAGAUCAUCACCACUUCAAGAAAACAUGAUCAUAGAACUGCUCGCCCUUUCACACAUCAACUGUGGAACAUGUUCUGACAAGUGGGUCGGACAUGUUCUGGAGCUGAAGCAGCAGCAGGAGAUUGUCUGGGUCCGACUCGUUCACAGCAACAGGAACAUGUGGGGACAUUCAGACGAGGGGCGGAGCCAAAACACAUAUCUCCAUGAUAGCCAUGGUUAUGUUAAGUUAUGUUAAGUUACAGGUUCACUGUGAAGGAGUUAGUGACGUCUCCAGGUGUCGUACAUGUGAACGUAGUCCACUUGUUCACGUGACUCCUGAACAUGUCCAGAAAGAUAUUUAGAGACAUCUAGUGGUGAAGUUACAUAUUACAAACAACUGAACCCCGAGGACACAAGGACUUUCAAGCUGUUUUCAUGAACUCUGUAAAACAGUGUCUGGACAUUUUCUGGAGUUUGACUUUCACAUAUGAAGAACAGGUGGAGCAGCAGGAGGCCGGACAUGACUUAUAAAUCCUGCUGUGGAAAGAUCAGUGUUGUUGUUUACAGCUCAUCCACACCGACGUCGGCCCUCAUCACCAAACGCUCUGGAAUCUCCUUGUGUUUCCAAGUUGACGUCUUCGUCUUCUACGAGUACGGCUCCUCUUCUUCAUCCAGAGAUAUUUGAGUUCUUCCAGUUUCACGUCAGUCACGUGUUAGAAAUGUAACCUGUUGGAAAAAGAAACCCAACUGUUACUAAAUAUGUUGGAAGAAAGUGUUACAAAUAUGAGAAAUAUGUUAGAAAUAUGUUCUUUCAUUGAGAAUUAUUUUUAUUUAAUUUAUACAUUUAUUAUUUAAUUCAUAACUACAUUCUUUAUUUUAUUCUUCAUUUCAUUGAUCAUUUCAUUUGAUCUCAGAGGUCUUUUUGAUUCAGUAGAUGGUCCUGUGAAGAAAAACUUUUCAAAUUGAUUUCAUUGGUUCAUUUCAGUUUAGCUGAGUUGCUAUUGGUUAAGGCAACGCAUGUCCCGCCUCCUUCACGUUAGAGACGCUGCGGUAGUGUGUGAAAAAUACACAGAGAGCAGCAGGACGAUAAUUGAGACACAGAGGUUUUGGAGUGAUGAAACUUUAAAAAAUACACUUUAUAUUGUUAAAAGGAGGAACUGUGUAAACAGAGAAAAGUCCGGUGAACCACUGAAGCGACCCUGGGAACAUCUUGUGUUUGUUUUAUUAUUUUAUUGUCCCGGCUGGGUUUUUUGAUACCCUGAGAUCCUGGACCGUGGAUUUGGAGUGAUUCUCUCCCUGACGAGGGGGAUGGCGAGCUACCCGCGUGAGCAUUUUGGAUUGAGGAGGAACCUUUCCAUUCUUCAUUCUCUGUCCUGCCAGAGUGGUAGGGUUGUGGGGAAGGACUUCCAAGAACUUUCGAAUUGAACUAUUUCUUUUGGGUAAAACAUUUUAUUUUAUUUAGGGUGCACCCGGUAAAAAAGACAUUUCAAAUAAGAACAAAAGUAACUGUCGGCAGUGUAUGUAAACUGUUUAUUUUCUAUAUAUGUUAAUACAGUGUUUUGCUUAAAUCUA